AAUCGCGCAUCAGCCAUGGCGCGGUGAAUACGUUCCCGGGCCUUGUACACACCGCCCGUCAAGCCAUGGGAGCCGGGGGUGCUUGAAGUGCGUCGCCGCAAGGCGCGCCCUAGAGCAAAACCGGUGACUGGGGCUAAGUCGUAACAAGGUAAC
rnacentral:rRNA from 1 species